ensembl:lncRNA
CACGCUUUGUCCCGGGUGAAGGUGACUCCGUGUUUGCUCGCACGUCCCCGGGUGAGCCUUUAAUCUGCCUGUAAGAACACACUUUCAGGAAACAAGAAAAUGCCACCAGCCAAACGGAGACGUGGGGGGCUGAGACGGCGGCUGUUCCAGAUAGAGAUGCGAGAUGGAUUCAUAUAUAUUCAUGAAUUCAGUCAGAAAAGUCAAACGGAAGCAGUAUGAUAAUCUUGCAGUAAUUGCAUUUUUCCCUCCAACUGUUUUUGGCAGAGCAGAGAGCCACGUUCAGACACGCGGGAUGGGGAAUACAGUCUCGAGGAGCCGUGAACAGUGGAUACCCUCUGACCCCCGUACCUAAGAUUCAUUUGAUGUCCUGACCUCUGACUGAAGAACUUUUUAAUUUUCUGACUGUGCACUCUUUCUCUUCCGGGCCCCAGGAAAUGCCUUACAAAAAAAAAAAAAAAAAAGAAACAUUCAAAGGACCAUAUUUCAAACUAUCAAGCUUUUUUUUCUCUCCAUACAUGUCAGUCUGCUGUCAGCAGCCGUCUGAAAAGUGCUGACAUUGCUGCCCUCCUGUCCGGCAGCCCGCUCCCUCUGUGUGAACUUGGAUUUAGCUCAAGGGUAUAGCCACCCUGCUAAUGUGAUGUAGCUCCGAGAAGGAAACAAAUUGGCCUGACGUCUCAUACGCUGCCUUGUCUUGAUUGUGUGAUGGCUUCUACUGCUAAUGUGUUACGAUGGGUAGACCUGCGCAGGGAGGGAGACGGGUUUGUGUGUGUGUGUGUGUGUGUGUGUGUGUGUUACAUGGAGAGAGAAAGAGAGCGGGAGAGAGGGAGGGAGGUUGGGAGGGAGGGAGGUUGGGGGAAGGGCCUCAGUCUGCAAGAUCAGCACAAGUGGAAUUGCAUUGAUUCAGUUAACUGCAG